GAUAAACGCUGGCGGCGUGCCUUAUGCAUGCAAGUCGGACGGGGAUGAAGACUUCGGUUUUCAUUCUAGUGGCAAACGGGUGAGUAACGCGUAAGUAACCUGUCUUCCAGUGGGGGAUAACCCCGAGAAAUUGGGGCUAAUACCGCAUGAAGCGCCGAAGGUAAUGCUUCGGUGUUGAAGCCGAAAGGCGCUGGGGGAGGGGCUUGCGUCCUAUCAGCUAGUUGGUGGGGUAACGGCCUACCAAGGCGAUGACGGGUAGCUGGCGUGAGAGCGUGGCCAGCCACACUGGGACUGAGACACGGCCCAGACUCCUACGGGAGGCAGCAGUGGGGAAUUUGCGCAAUGGGCGAAAGCCUGACGCAGCGACGCCGCGUGGGGGAAGAAGGCCUUCGGGUUGUAAACUCCUUUAGUACGGGAAGAAGCCUUCGGGUGACGGUACCGUAAGAAUAAGCCACGGCUAACUCUGUG
rnacentral:rRNA from 1 species